UACGUAGGUUACCAGCGUUGUCCGGAAUUACUGGGCGUAAAGCGUGCGUAGGCGGUUAUUUAAGUCAGGUGUGAAAGCCCCGGGCUCAACCUGGGAAUUGCAUUUGAGACUGAAUAGCUAGGGUGCGGAAGAGGGAAGCGGAAUUUCCGGUGUAGCGGUGAAAUGCGUAGAUAUCGGGAGGAACACCAGUGGCGAAAGCGGCUUCCUGGUCCAGCACCGACGUUCAGGCACGAAAGCGUGGGGAGCAAACAGG
rnacentral:rRNA from 1 species